rnacentral:tRNA from 1 species
GGUCUGGCCGCGUCGCCGGUGCGGCGGUCGGUCUGCAAAACCGGAUCCCCCAAAAGGGGCUGGGGUUCGACUCCCCGCCAGGCCUC